rnacentral:rRNA from 1 species
CAAACCAAAGCUGGCGACCGGCGCACGGGUGAGUAACACGUAUCCAACCUGCCUCAUACUCGGGGAUAGCCUUUCGAAAGAAAGAUUAAUACCCGAUGGUAUAAUAAAACCGCAUGGUUUAAUUAUUAAAGAAUUUCGGUUAUCGAUGGGGAUGCGCUCCAUUAGGCAGUUGGUGAGGUAACGGCUCACCAAACCUUCGAUGGAUAGGGGUUCUGAGAGGAAGGUCCCCCACAUUGGAACUGAGACACGGUCCAA